UACCAGCACCCCGAGUGGUCGGGACGAUUAUUGGGCCUAAAGCAUGCGUAGCCGGUCAUGCAAGUCUUCCGUUAAAUCCAGCCGCUCAACGGUUGGGCUGCGGAGGAUACUACGUGGCUAGGAGGCGGGAGAGGCAAGCGGUACUCAGUGGGUAGGGGUAAAAUCCUUUGAUCCAUUGAAGACCACCAGUGGCGAAGGCGGCUUGCCAGAACGCGCUCGACGGUGAGGGAUGAAAGCUGGGGGAGCAAACCGG
rnacentral:rRNA from 1 species